CCUACGGUUGGCUGCAGUGAGGAAUAUUGGUCAAUGGACGCGAGCCUGAACCAGCCAAGUAGCGUGAAGGAUGACUGCCCUACGGGUUGUAAACUUCUUUUAUAUGGGAAUAAAGUGUUCCACGUGUGCCUUUUUGUAUGUACUUUAUGAAUAAGGAUCGGCUAACUCCGUGCCAGCAGCCGCGGUAAUACGGAGGAUCCGAGCGUUAUCCGGAUUUAUUGGGUUUAAAGGGAGCGUAGAUGGGUUGUUAAGUCAGUUGUGAAAGUUUGCGGCUCAACCGUAAAAUUGCAAUUGAUACUGGCAGUCUUGAGUACAGUAGAGGUAGGCGGAAUUCGUGGUGUAGCGGUGAAAUGCUUAGAUAUCACGAAGAACUCCGAUUGCGAAGGCAGCUUACUAAACUGCAACUGACACUGAGGCUCGAAAGUGUGGGUAUCAAACAGGAUUAGAUACCCGUGUAGUC
rnacentral:rRNA from 1 species